rnacentral:piRNA from 1 species
UGUUGUGCUGAAAUGUUCCACAGAGAGAAGC